rnacentral:misc_RNA from 1 species
GAUGAAGAACGUAGCGAAAUGCGAUAAGUAGUGUGAAUUGCAGAUUUCAGUGAAUCAUCGAAUCUUUGAACGCACAUUGCGCCCCUUGGUAUCCCGAGGGGCAUGCCUGUUCGAGCGUCAUUUCACCACUCAAGCCUGGCUUGGUGUUGGGCGACGUCCCCUUUGGGGACGCGCCUCGAAACGCUCGGCGGCGUGGCACCGGCUUUAAGCGUAGCAGAAUCUUUCGCUUUGGAAGUCGGGGCCCCGUCUGCCGGAAGACCUACUCGCAAGGUUGACCUCGGAUCAGGCAGGGAUACCCGCUGAACUUAAGCAUAUCAAUAAGCGGAGGA